UCUUGAACGAGCAAUCACAGCGCUUGUUUCACUUGCUUUGUCCUUGAUCGCAUCAUUGGUCUGCCAUCGACUAUCAACGGGUCUCGUCUCGCACUCGCUUUCGUCAGGCUCGACUCCUAGAUCAUAUCAGUACAUCUUGGAGUCUAUGAAUCUUACCACCACGAGUCAUGACAUUUCUACAAAUAUGUAUGAAAUGCUGAGAACAAAAUCAAAAUAAAUGUAAUGCAAAUUGACUCCAUGAUCAUGUUCUGAUACCAAUUAACACGAUCCAUCUCGAAUUACCCUAGUGGAUUGGUAGAUACCAACUAAAUGACGAACCCACCACCAAGACAACUUUGACCGAUUUUGACUCUGAUGAAUUUUUAAAAUAAUUUUGAAAAAGUUUCCUCUGAACUAUGGACUAGAAUCACCUGCACAAUAAUCAAUUGUCUAAAACAUGUAUAUAUAAUUUAAAAUAGAGUACACCAACCCCUAAAAACAUAAACUAUUCAAAAUACAAUACUGAUAAGUCAACCUUUACAAUUAUAUACAAACAAAGGUCCCCAAAUGCACUAAAAUACUAGAUAUGUAGAGAGCCCAUGAUAUAGAUACAUGAAUUAUAAAUUAACAUUUCAAACAAAAGAUGCAUAUAACACAAAAGAAAAAUGAAUUAUAUAAACUAACAAGUGAAUCCUACAACUAAUAACAAUGUGUAGCUCAACUAGGUGGAUCGACAUGAUUCAACGCUGCUUAACUCAGUUAUUAUCUAAUAAGAUAAGAGGUGACAAAAUAUACUUAAUCUAUAAUAGAGUAUACAUUUCCUAUUCAUACACGAUUACCGUAAAGCUUUACUUGCUUUAUUACAACUUCAAGAAAUUCUGAAAUUUGGUAAUAACUUUUAAAAUUGAAACGUGAUAGAAUCAUAAAAUAAUUUAUUCUUUAUUCUAAAUAAACAAUUAUAAAAUAUAACGAAUAUAAAUAAUUUGAUAUCCACGAAAAUCUAUAAAAUACUAUCGUUACUUAAUAUUAUAAGUUGGAAACUUUAUUCUGUGAACUGAAUAAACUGAAUUCUAUAAUUUGUAAUCUAAUAAACUGUAAUAUAAUGAAAAAUCACACCAAAAAUGUAUCUGAAAUAACCUUACUCAUAUAUCGAUUAAUCGUGAUGUACAUGACAAAGCUAUUAAAUUUUGUAAUUCUAAGAUUUUAAAAUUCUGUAGUUCUAAUCAUACUAUGUAGGGCUAUCUAAAGGCUAUAAUCUGAAACACAUUGACAAUAGUGAAGAGUGGGUAAAAUAACCAUAUAGACUGUGAAAACAUAUUCACACCACAAGUCUAGACUAGGGUAAAAUAACUUGGAUAUUUUUUGGUGAUUUUAGAAAUAACUAUAUAUAUGCUGAAACAUUUAAUAAUGAUAUAAUGAGCCAAUAAAAUGGUUAAAUUGAACUGAAUUUAACUCUUAGAAGAAUUGCUUAAUUUAAAAAAAAAAAAACUUUAUUCAAAAAAUUGUGCUUUUUUAAAUCAAUCAGCUAAAAUAAAUAACUUUUACAUCUUAUAUGAUAUACUAUAAGAAAUAUAAUAAACAAUUAUUUCAUAUAAGCUUGAGAACUAAUAUAAUAUAAAUGAGUACUUAUUUCUAAAAAGUGAAUAAUCAGUCACACAAUACAAGCUACAAACUAGAAUGGGUGGUAAACUUUUCCAAUCAUCGCCACCUAAAAUACGAUACAAGAUAACCAACUUAACCGCUUCCAAAUAAAGAAUCCUUUAAUAUCAAUGAUAUAAUACUUAAACUAAAUUUCUCGAUACUUCAGAAAAUUUUCUAAGUUUUCUUUAACCAAUUGGAGAUAAUUCAAUUUUUUUGAUUCCUUCACAAAUAUGUACUAUAUCUAAAUUAGAAAUAACUAUAUACAUGCUAAAAUAACCAUAUGUGGUUAUACACCAUGGAAACAUAUUCAGAUAAGUGUAGACUAGGAUAAAAUCACUUUCGUACUUUCUGGUGGUUUUAGAAAUAACUUUAUAUAUGUCGAAAUAUUUGAUACUGAUAUAAUCAGCCAAUAAAAUGGUUAAACUGAACUGAAUUUAACGUUUAAAAGAAUUGCUUAUUUAAAAAAAACUUUAUUUUGAAAAUUAUGCUUUUUAAAUCAAUCAUCUGAAAUAAGCAACUUUUAUAGCUCAUAUGGCAUAUUAUAAGAAAUACAAUAAAUAAUUAUUUCAUAUAAACUUAAGAACUAAUAUAAUUUAAAUGAGUACUUAUUUCUAAAAAGUGGAUAACUAAUCACACAAUACAAGCCACAAACUAGAAUGGGUGGUAAGUUUUUCCAAUCCCUUCGCCACCACCUGAAAUAUGAUACAAGAUAAUCAACUUAAUCGCUACCAAAUCAAGAAUCCUUUAAUAUCUAUGAUAUAAUACUUAAACUAAAUUUUCUACAUUUGAGCAAAUUUCCAAAAUUUCUUUAACCAAUUGGAGAUAAUUAUAUUUUUUUAAUACCCUCACAGAUAUUUACUAUAUCCAAAUUUAUCUUCAUCACAAUCAUAAAAAUAAUUACACCUUACAAUCUAGUGAAAAAUUGUAAUCAUAAUUUAACAAAUUUAAUUUUCAUCUUGUUCCAUGAACUCAUGCUUUCAAGUGAGUAUUUCCUUAAUACUGUCAUUUUUUUCCUCCUAUUUUCAACCACAUAAUCUAUCAAAAAAUAAUAUUACACGUAAACCAAAAACCUUUUCUUCUUUUUUAACCACUUAUUUAAAAAAAAAAAAAAACAUUAUUCCACCUAUUUUCAUUUCAAAAAAUGAGGGCCAAAUGGAACCCACUCAAGAACCAAAUUAAUAAUUUUAUGGUUUGCUCAAUAAUGGUAUUUCUUAUCUUGACGUAAAAAUCAUUCACCACUCAAAAAGAUCGGCUUCAAACUAUGCUCUUUUCUUCAGUUUGAAAUUUAAACCAACCAUUUAGAAUCCUAGAAAAUUCAACAUAAAUUAUUCAUUUAUCACUUGAAGAAAAUAGAUAAAUUGAAUUUAAGCUCGAAGAAGUCAAUACUUCUUCUUCCUUUUCCCUUUCUUCUUUUCCAUGCUUCCUUCUUUUCUCGUUUUCUUUCUUCUUUACUUUUUCCUUUUCCACCGUUUUCUUCUCUACUCUUAGUUCCUCAACUCUCCAUGUGCAUGUAUAUAAAUGAAAAAUAGGAUAACUGAUAUGUUUAGUGGAGCAAUAAGUAAUAAUUUGCAAAGGAAGUCCCUCCUUAUACAAUUUAUAUAAAAUCUAGUCAUUAACUUUCCAUACUUGUAAACUAAAUCCUCAAAUCUAAACGAUGUCCAUCUUAAGCCCUUAAGUACUGUAAAUUUUAAAAUAUAUCCCAAUAAAAUAAUUUGGACAAUUCAAGUCCUUAUUCUACUUUGACUUUGAUGAGACUUUUGAUUUUUGACAAAAUGAAAUGGGUUAUAACACAUAUAAGUUAUUGUUGAAAAUGAUUUUAGAAAAAUCUAUGAAAAACAAUGAAGACAAGCCACAGAACACAGUUAAGUCAAGUAACUGCAAGGUACAAAUUAAUUUGGAAGACGAGAACAAUCCUAGUGCCUAGAAUGACAUACACAAGACAAGAACAAUCCCACACAAUUUCAGUCCCUCACCGGCUAACUGCUUAGAAUGACAUAAACAAGACAAGAACAAAAUAGAUGAAUAGGCUUAAUUUGGAAGCAAAGACCAAGAUCGAAAAAAUUAAACAAACAUACUACUGCCUACAAAUAACACAGUUCAAAUAUCAUCUGACAAGUGCAAAAUUUGAUCAACCCUUCGGUAGUAUUGAGAUUAAAACACAAAACAUAGCAAACCUUAAAUCCCGGGGCAUACAGUUAUCUCAUUGAAUUUGAAAUGUAAUUUUAUAAAUGAAAUAGCUCGUUCCAGGGAGACGAUUAUUGAACCUUGUAUUUAUACACAUAAAUUGGGAGACUUUUAACUUAUUAGAGCCCAAGCAUCUGACAUAAUCAAAUAUAAUAAUAUUGAUAUAAUCUAUUGUUGAAGUUAACCAUAGCAGAAACUUCUCUGAAUAUAUAGUAAACCAUAUCAAAAAUUGUUCAACCCUUCGUUAGUAUUGAGAUUAAAAGACAACACAUAGCAAAACCUUAAACCCCAGUGCAUAUAGUUAUCUCGUUUCCAAUAUAUCAACAGGAGAAAGUUGGAUGGAUGUGCUCCCGAAGUGGCGACAAUCUUCGUUCGAAGUGUGGUAAAAAAACGUGAAGCGGGAGGCAGCCAAACUUUCGACACGCCCUGUCGGAUCGUCGACGGUGCCGUCGUCUGGGGUGAUGUCGGAGAUGGUGAGGCGUGGGGAGGGUUUUCGAUUCUGUGGGUUUGGGCUUGGGAGAGUGAAAUUGGGGAUUUUUUAUUCGGGAGAGUGAAUGUACGUGUGGGAUUUUAAGUUUUUAUAAUUUGUUUUUUUUUUUUUUCAUUUUGGUUAGUGCAAUGCAGUCGGG
rnacentral:lncRNA from 1 species